rnacentral:rRNA from 1 species
GAGAGAGGAAGGUGGGAAUCCUUCCGGCCGAAUAUCUAAGGUUUCCAGAGUAAAGCUGAUCUGCUCUGGGUAAGUCGGGGCCUAAGGCGAGGUCGAAAGACGUAGUCGAUGGAUAACAGGUGAAAUUCCUGUACUAUCCUGUAACAGAACUGUGGGGACACAGGCAGAGAGCGUGAGCCGGGAAUGGAAAGACCGGUACAAGCGAGGUAGGAGAAGAGUUGGCAAAUCCGCUCUUUAAUCUGAAGACGUGAUGUGGACUGAAAAUAAGUAGGGAAGCACGUGAGCUGACUGUCAAGAAAAGCCGCUAUUGUUUGCAGGAUACCCGUACCGUAAACCGACACAGGUGGAUGAGGAGAGAAUCCUAAGGCCGACGGGAGAAGCAUUGUUAAGGAACUCGGCAAAAUGACUCCGUAACUUCGGGAGAAGGAGUGCCAGUAAGAUGGCCGCAGAGAAUUGGCCCAAGCAACUGUUUAGCAAAAACACAGGUCUAUGCAAAACCGAAAGGUGAGGUAUAUGGGCUGACGCCUGCCCGGUGCUGGAAGGUUAAGGGGAGAGGUUAGCGCAAGCGAAGCUUUGAACUUAAGCCCCAGUAAACGGCGGCCGUAACAAUAACGGUCCUAAGGUAGCGAAAUUCCUUGUCGGGUAAGUUCCGACCCGCACGAAAGGCGUAAUGAUUUGGGCACUGUCUCAACAAUGCACCCGGUGAAAUUGAAAUACCAGUGAAGAUGCUGGUUACCUGCGCCAGGACGGAAAGACCCCAUGGAGCUUUACUCCAGCUUGAUACUGGGAUUCGGUAUUGCAUGUACAGGAUAGGUGGGAGGCUAGGAAAUGGUAACGCCAGUUGCCAUGGAGCCAAUGUUGGGAUACCACCCUUGCAGUACUGGGUUUCUAACCAGCAGCCGUGAUCCGGCUGGGGGACAAUGUCAGGUGGGGAGUUUGACUGGGGCGGUCGCCUCCGAAAGGGUAUCGGAGGCGCUCAAAGGUUCCCUCAGAAUGGUUGGAAACCAUUCGAAGAGUGCAAAGGCAGAAGGGAGCUUGACUGCGACACCGACGGGUGGAGCAGGUACGAAAGUAGGACUUAGUGAUCCGGUGGUAUAAAGUGGGAUUGCCAUCGCUCAACGGAUAAAAGCUACCCUGGGAUAACAGGCUUAUCACUCCCAAGAGUUCACAUCGACGGAGUGGUUUGGCACCUCGAUGUCGGCUCAUCGCAUCCUGGGGCUGAAGUAGGUCCCAAGGGUUGGGCUGUUCGCCCAUUAAAGCGGUACGCGAGCUGGGUUCAGAACGUCGUGAGACAGUUCGGUCCCUAUCCGGCGUGGGCGUAAGAUAUUUGAGAGGAGCUGUCCUUAGUACGAGAGGACCGGGAUGGACUGGCCGCUGGUGUAUCUGUUGUCUUACCAAAGGCAUAGCAGAGUAGCCAAGCCGGGAAGGGAUAAACGCUGAAGGCAUCUAAGCGUGAAGCCCCCCUCAAGAUGAGAUAUCUCAUAACGUCAAGUUAGUAAGACCCCUUGAAGACGACGAGGUAGAUAGGGCAGAGGUGGAAGUGUGGUAACACAUGGAGCUGACUGUUACUAAUAGGUCGAGGGCAUAACC